AAGUCGUAACAAGGUUUCCGUAGGUGAACCUGCGGAAGGAUCAUUACCGAGUUAGGGUACUCUUCGUGCCCGACCUCCAACCCUUUGUCUACCUGACCAGAUGUUGCUUCGGCAGGCCCGCCGCUCCGCGAGGGGUGGCCGCCGGGGGCCCUUACCGGCCCCGGGUCCGCGCCUGUCGAUGGCCCCUUCUAAACAAACUCUUGAUUAAACCGUGUCGUCUGAGUAAAACAAACAAAAUAAAAACAAAACUUUCAACAACGGAUCUCUUGGUUCUG
rnacentral:misc_RNA from 1 species